rnacentral:rRNA from 1 species
UCCCACGGGGGGCAGCAGUGGGGAAUAUUGCACAAUGGGGGAAACCCUGAUGCAGCGACGCCGCGUGGGCGAGGAAGUACCUCGGUAUGUAAAGCCCUAUCAGCAGGGAAGAAACAGGACAGUACCUGACUAAGAAGCCCCGGCUAACUACGUGCCAGCAGCCGCGGUAAUACGGAGGGUGCAAGCGUUACUCGGAAUCACUGGGUGUAAAGGGAGCGUAGACGGUGAUGCAAGUCUGGAGUGAAAGGCGGGGGCCCAACCCCCGGACUGCUCUGGAAACUGUGUAACUUGAGUGCAGGAGAGGU